UUGAAGAGUUUGAUCAUGGCUCAGAUUGAACGCUGGCGGCAGGCCUAACACAUGCAAGUCGAGCGGUAGCACAGAGAGCUUGCUCUCGGGUGACGAGCGGCGGACGGGUGAGUAAUGUCUGGGAAACUGCCUGAUGGAGGGGGAUAACUACUGGAAACGGUAGCUAAUACCGCAUAAUGUCGCAAGACCAAAGUGGGGGACCUUCGGGCCUCAUGCCAUCAGAUGUGCCCAGAUGGGAUUAGCUAGUAGGUGGGGUAACGGCUCACCUAGGCGACGAUCCCUAGCUGGUCUGAGAGGAUGACCAGCCACACUGGAACUGAGACACGGUCCAGACUCCUACGGGAGGCAGCAGUGGGGAAUAUUGCACAAUGGGCGCAAGCCUGAUGCAGCCAUGCCGCGUGUGUGAAGAAGGCCUUCGGGUUGUAAAGCACUUUCAGCGGGGAGGAAGGCGAUAAGGUUAAUAACCUUGUCGAUUGACGUUACCCGCAGAAGAAGCACCGGCUAACUCCGUGCCAGCAGCCGCGGUAAUACGGAGGGUGCAAGCGUUAAUCGGAAUUACUGGGCGUAAAGCGCACGCAGGCGGUCUGUCAAGUCGGAUGUGAAAUCCCCGGGCUCAACCUGGGAACUGCAUUCGAAACUGGCAGGCUAGAGUCUUGUAGAGGGGGUAGAAUUCCAGGUGUAGCGGUGAAAUGCGUAGAGAUCUGGAGGAAUACCGGUGGCGAAGGCGGCCCCCUGGACAAAGACUGACGCUCAGGUGCGAAAGCGUGGGGAGCAAACAGGAUUAGAUACCCUGGUAGUCCACGCCGUAAACGAUGUCGAUUUGGAGGUUGUGCCCUUGAGGCGUGGCUUCCGGAGCUAACGCGUUAAAUCGACCGCCUGGGGAGUACGGCCGCAAGGUUAAAACUCAAAUGAAUUGACGGGGGCCCGCACAAGCGGUGGAGCAUGUGGUUUAAUUCGAUGCAACGCGAAGAACCUUACCUGGUCUUGACAUCCACAGAACUUAGCAGAGAUGCUUUGGUGCCUUCGGGAACUGUGAGACAGGUGCUGCAUGGCUGUCGUCAGCUCGUGUUGUGAAAUGUUGGGUUAAGUCCCGCAACGAGCGCAACCCUUAUCCUUUGUUGCCAGCGGUUAGGCCGGGAACUCAAAGGAGACUGCCAGUGAUAAACUGGAGGAAGGUGGGGAUGACGUCAAGUCAUCAUGGCCCUUACGACCAGGGCUACACACGUGCUACAAUGGCAUAUACAAAGAGAAGCGACCUCGCGAGAGCAAGCGGACCUCAUAAAGUAUGUCGUAGUCCGGAUUGGAGUCUGCAACUCGACUCCAUGAAGUCGGAAUCGCUAGUAAUCGUAGAUCAGAAUGCUACGGUGAAUACGUUCCCGGGCCUUGUACACACCGCCCGUCACACCAUGGGAGUGGGUUGCAAAAGAAGUAGGUAGCUUAACCUUCGGGAGGGCGCUUACCACUUUGUGAUUCAUGACUGGGGUGAAGUCGUAACAAGGUAACCGUAGGGGAACCUGCGGUUGGAUCACCUCCUU
rnacentral:rRNA from 1 species